UAAGUUAAUAAGGGCGCACGGUGGAUGCCUUGGCACUAGGAGCCGACGAAGGACGUGACAAACGACGAUAUGCCUUGGGUAGCUGUAAGUAAGCGAUGAUCCAGGGAUUUCCGAAUGGGGGAACCCAACAGGUAAUACCUGUUACCUACAUCUGUUAAGGAUGUGAGGAGGAAGACGCAGUGAACUGAAACAUCUAAGUAGCUGCAGGAAGAGAAAGCAAAAGCGAUUGCCUUAGUAGCGGCGAGCGAAACGGCAGAAGGGCAAACCGAAGAGUUUACUCUUCGGGGUUGUAGGACUGCAAUGUGGACUCAAAGAUUAUAGAAGAAUGAUUUGGGAAGAUCAGCCAAAGAGAGUAAUAGCCUCGUAUUUAAAAUAGCCUUUGUACUUAGCAGUAUCCUGAGUACGGCGGGACACGUGAAAUCCCGUCGGAAUCUGGGAGGACCAUCUCCCAACCCUAAAUACUCCCUAGUGACCGAUAGUGAACCAGUACCGUGAGGGAAAGGUGAAAAGCACCCCGGGAGGGGAGUGAAAUAGAACCUGAAACCGUGUGCCUACAACAAGUUCGAGCCCGUUAAUGGGUGAGAGCGUGCCUUUUGUAGAAUGAACCGGCGAGUUACGUUAUGAUGCGAGGUUAAGUUGAAGAGACGGAGCCGUAGGGAAACCGAGUCUGAAUAGGGCGCCUUAGUAUCAUGACGUAGACCCGAAACCAUGUGACCUACCCAUGAGCAGGUUGAAGGUGCGGUAAGACGCACUGGAGGACCGAACCAGGGCACGUUGAAAAGUGCUUGGAUGACUUGUGGGUAGCGGAGAAAUUCCAAACGAACUUGGAGAUAGCUGGUUCUCUCCGAAAUAGCUUUAGGGCUAGCGUCGACAUUAGAGAUUCUUGGAGGUAGAGCACUGUUUGGGUGAGGGGUCCAUCCCGGAUUACCAAUCUCAGAUAAACUCCGAAUGCCAAUGAAUUAUGGUCGGCAGUCAGACUGCGAGUGCUAAGAUCCGUAGUCGAAAGGGAAACAGCCCAGACCACCAGCUAAGGUCCCAAAAUAAUUGUUAAGUGGAAAAGGAUGUGGGGUUGCACAGACAACUAGGAUGUUAGCUUAGAAGCAGCUAUUCAUUCAAAGAGUGCGUAAUAGCUCACUAGUCGAGUGACCCUGCGCCGAAAAUGUACCGGGGCUAAAACAAUUUACCGAAGCUGUGGAUACCUUUAUAGGUAUGGUAGGAGAGCGUUCUAUGUGUGAUGAAGGUAUACCGUGAGGAGUGCUGGAACGCAUAGAAGUGAGAAUGCCGGUAUGAGUAGCGAAAGACAGGUGAGAAUCCUGUCCACCGUAAGACUAAGGUUUCCAGGGGAAGGCUCGUCCGCCCUGGGUUAGUCGGGACCUAAGGAGAGACCGAAAGGUGUAUCCGAUGGACAACAGGUUGAUAUUCCUGUACUAGAGUAUGUAGUGAUGGAGGGACGCGGUAGGCUAACUAAAGCAGACGAUUGGAAGAGUCUGUCUAAGCAGUGAGGUGUGAAUUGAGUCAAAUGCUUAAUUCUAUAACAUUGAGCUGUGAUGGGGAGCGAAGUUUAGUAGCGAAGUUAGUGACGUCACACUGCCAAGAAAAGCUUCUAGCGUUUAAACAUACUCUACCCGUACCGCAAACCGACACAGGUAGUCGAGGCGAGUAGCCUCAGGUGAGCGAGAGAACUCUCGUUAAGGAACUCGGCAAAAUGACCCCGUAACUUCGGGAGAAGGGGUGCUGACUUUAAGUCAGCCGCAGUGAAUAGGCCCAAGCAACUGUUUAUCAAAAACACAGCUCUCUGCUAAAUCGUAAGAUGAUGUAUAGGGGGUGACGCCUGCCCGGUGCUGGAAGGUUAAGAGGAGUGCUUAGCGUAAGCGAAGGUAUGAAUUGAAGCCCCAGUAAACGGCGGCCGUAACUAUAACGGUCCUAAGGUAGCGAAAUUCCUUGUCGGGUAAGUUCCGACCCGCACGAAAGGCGUAAUGAUUUGGGCACUGUCUCAACGAGAGACUCGGUGAAAUUUUAGUACCUGUGAAGAUGCAGGUUACCCGCGACAGGACGGAAAGACCCCAUGGAGCUUUACUGCAGUUUGAUAUUGAGUGUCUGUACCACAUGUACAGGAUAGGUAGGAGUCUAAGAGAUCGGGACGCCAGUUUCGAAGGAGACGCUGUUGGGAUACUACCCUUGUGUUAUGGCCACUCUAACCCAGAUAGGUGAUCCCUAUCGGAGACAGUGUCUGACGGGCAGUUUGACUGGGGCGGUCGCCUCCUAAAAGGUAACGGAGGCGCCCAAAGGUUCCCUCAGAAUGGUUGGAAAUCAUUCGCAGAGUGUAAAGGUAUAAGGGAGCUUGACUGCGAGAGCUACAACUCGAGCAGGGACGAAAGUCGGGCUUAGUGAUCCGGUGGUUCCGUAUGGAAGGGCCAUCGCUCAACGGAUAAAAGCUACCCUGGGGAUAACAGGCUUAUCUCCCCCAAGAGUUCACAUCGACGGGGAGGUUUGGCACCUCGAUGUCGGCUCGUCGCAUCCUGGGGCUGUAGUCGGUCCCAAGGGUUGGGCUGUUCGCCCAUUAAAGCGGCACGCGAGCUGGGUUCAGAACGUCGUGAGACAGUUCGGUCCCUAUCCGUCGCGGGCGUAGGAAAUUUGAGAGGAUCUGCUCCUAGUACGAGAGGACCAGAGUGGACUUACCGCUGGUGUACCAGUUGUCUUGCCAAAGGCAUCGCUGGGUAGCUAUGUAGGGAAGGGAUAAACGCUGAAAGCAUCUAAGUGUGAAACCCACCUCAAGAUGAGAUUUCCCAUGAUUAUAUAUCAGUAAGAGCCCUGAGAGAUGAUCAGGUAGAUAGGUUAGAAGUGGAAGUGUGGCGACACAUGUAGCGGACUAAUACUAAUAGCUCGAGGACUUAUCCA
rnacentral:rRNA from 1 species